AGUGAACGCUGGCGGUAGGCCUAACACAUGCAGGUCGAACGGCAGCACAGUAAGAGCUUGCUCUUACGGGUGGCGAGUGGCGGACGGGUGAGGAAUACAUCGGAAUCUACUUUUUCGUGGGGGAUAACGUAGGGAAACUUACGCUAAUACCGCAUACGACCUACGGGUGAAAGCAGGGGAUCUUCGGACCUUGCGCGAUUGAAUGAGCCGAUGUCGGAUUAGCUAGUUGGCGGGGUAAAGGCCCACCAAGGCGACGAUCCGUAGCUGGUCUGAGAGGAUGAUCAGCCACACUAGAACUGAGACACGGUCCAGACUCCUACGGGAGGCAGCAGUGGGGAAUAUUGGACAAUGGGCGCAAGCCUGAUCCAGCCAUACCGCGUGGGUGAAGAAGGCCUUCGGGUUGUAAAGCCCUUUUGUUGGGAAAGAAAAGCAGCAGGUUAAUACCCCGCUGUUCUGACGGUACCCAAAGAAUAAGCACCGGCUAACUUCGUG
rnacentral:rRNA from 1 species